UGAAAAAAAAACUCCGGGGCUUCUACUUUCUCCAAAGGUGAAGCAGAUUCACUCUUCAGAUACCCCGAGGCAUAGAGCCAUGUGUGAAAAACCUCUUGGUGCCAGCAGUAAAAAGGUGUCAUAGCAAUAAAAUAAGAGAAGUGGCGAUAAAGACUUCCUAAUUCUUGGAAUAAAACUGUUGGGGAAGGAAAUCCGUGGGCAGAAGGUGACAAAGAAAACUAAGUUCUGGCAGAAGAACCCAAAUACACUCAGAUAUUGUUUAUCAUAAUGGCUCUUGUCAUUCAUGAACUCGUUUUUGACAGGAUAUAUUUCAAAAUGAAGAUCAUGCUAGGCUCAGCAACAUUCAACUGAUGUGUCAAUGGGAGUUCUAGUCUUAGUCUCAGAAUUAUGUUGUCUCCAGGCUAUUCCCUGGUGCUUGACAUAGUGUUUGUAGUGUUUGAAGAAACCGUCUGAGAAAAUUCUCCAGUCUUUUUCCUUGGGAGAAAUCCUGAAUUACUCUUCAAAAUUGUUUCUCCACGGCAGGAACUCUAAAAUACUCCCCAACUUUCAAAUUUCUAGUCCCAGUUUAACAACUGAAACUGUUAAAUCUUAGUCUGGCCAUGCAUACAUCACUGGUAGGAUAUGACCAUUUAAGAGGGCCAAACUUCAAGCAUUCUUUACUUCAGUGUCACUUUUAGUCUCCUAAACACAUAAACCUAGUUGCCAUGUAAUACACAAUCUGCAUUUGUAAUCGCUGUUUUAUAUACUGCAGUGUCAACAUUCUAAAAUUAAAUGUUUUACAUU